GCUAACAAAUCUAAAAGAUUCACUCACUCAAAUGGAAGGAAUCAACAUGGAGCAAAUCAAGGCUAACGAAUCAUGAAGUCAAUAAUCUGUACAAGGCAGAUUCUCACAAAGAAGGAAGGAAAAUAUUUACACGAACAUAUCUGAUAUGGACGUGAUUACACUCAAUCAAGGAAUCCUUACAAAUCCUUGAUUGAAAGAAAAUCCCUUGGGUUUUCCUUGAAGAGCAGAAUUAUCAUCCAUCUCCAACACUAUAAAUUAUCCGCACCCUCAGCAUAGAGAAUUACGAACUUCACUUGAACUUGUAUUGUUGCUUUCUUUUAUCUUUGAGAAAAACCUUGUAGUCUGUCUAGUCUACAAUUGUAACAGAAAAGAGAAAGAAUAAUCUCUAGUAUAGGUUUUACAAGUAGAGGUUGCGUCAAGAUAAGAAGUCUGAUUUGCAUAUCAGACAAGUACUGAAUACUCCAACAUUGUAUCACCAAGUUCACUCAAAGCUCUUAAGGAAACCCUUGUAACCCAAGGGGACUGGAAGUAGGCACCACAUCGGUGUUCCGAACCAGGAUAAAGUUUUCUGUUUCUUUACAUUCUGUCAUCAUAUUUUAUAUUAUUUGAAAUUACUAACUUGCAGGUCAGUUGACUCUCACCCUUGAGUAGUCGACUCGAAGAAAAUUUCAAUUCACGCCCCCCCCCCUCCCCUCUUGACUUUCAAUUGGUAUCAGAGCAGGUCUCACAUUUGAAAGUGCUUAACCACACGUGAGAAAAGAUCUAUGGCAAACUACCAAAUUCCUGGUGCAAUCCUUCAAGACGGUCACUCAUCAAAUCGUCCUUCGUACUUCAAUGGCCAACACUACUCCCACUGGAAAGACAGGUUCAGAAUCUUUGUCCAAUCAAAUGACUUUCAAGCAUGGGUAGUAAUCAAGAAGGGACCAAAACCAAAUCCCAGGCCUAACUGGAAAGGAAACUGCUGGAAAAGAAAUUGAUCCAGAGUCCUUUGAGAUAACCAAGGAACAACAAGAGGUAUUGCAAACUAAUGCUAGAGCUAUAAGUCUUUUGUAUUUGCAGUUAGCGGAGCAGAAUAUGACAAGAUUUCAACAUGUGAAACUGCAAAGGAAAUGUGGGAUAAGCUUGAAGUUACCUAUGAAGGAACUAGCAGAGUAAAGGAAGCCAGAAUCAGCUCUCUCGUAAAUGAAUACGAAUUAUUCAAAAUGGCAGAUGAUGAGAAUGUUGAGAAUAUGUUCUCUAGAUUCAGUAAGAUUGUAUGUGAACUAAAGUCCUUAGGGAUGGUCUACUCAAAUGGUUUACAAGUAAGAAAACUUAUAAGAAGCCUUCCAAAAGCUUGGGAAACUAAAGCAGCUAUUCUAGAGGAUGGAGAUCUCCAAUUGAUGACUUAUGAUGAACUUAGGGGAAAUCUCAUGGCAUAUGAACAGAAUCACAUUAACAGGUAUAAUAAAGAUGAGGAAAAGAAAAUUGUUGCUUUUAAUGCAGAAGUCUAUGAAGCAGAAGAAGAAGUUGAUGAAGCAAGUAGUGAAGGAAUGGCUCUCAUAACUCGAGGAGUCAGACAAAUGCUAAGACAAAGAAAACAAAAACCUCAACAAGAAUCAAGAAACAACAGCUACUCAAGAAAUGAUGAUCGAUGCUAUCAUUGUGGAAAACCAGGACACAUCAGGCAAAACGGUCCUGAACUAAAAAGAAUGAAUUACAGGAGGAAUGAUAAUCCAAAAUCUCUUGGAGCUUGGAGCGAGGAAGAUGUAUCUGAAGAAGAUCCUUCAGAAUCGACUAACAUAUGUUUCUUGGCUCUAGAAGAAACUAAUCAACAAAACAAGAACAAUGCAUCUGAAGAAGAUCCCUCAGAAUCAACUGAUGUAUGCUUCAUGGCACUAGGAGAAACUAGUGAGGUAAGAAUGCAAAUUUGUUAUAACUGUAUAAACUUGCAAAAUUCUUUAGACAUGAUUACUGAUGAACUUCAAAAGGUCAUCGAUGAAUAUAACAAACUGGCCAACGAAAAGAAAAACUGGCAAAUUUCUCUGGAAGUAAGUCAAGUGGAAGUCGACUUACUUCUUGAAGAACUUGGUGAACUUAAGAUGCAACUAAACAGUGUCAAGAAAUCACCAAGUCAUAGUCCAGUUCGCUCUAACAUAUCAUUUCAAAAUCUUUCUCAAAAUUCCUCUUUUUACGGUGCUAAAUCUUCUUUCAAACCUAGCUGUUAUACUUGUGGAAAAAUUGUUCAUAAAUCCUUUAACUGCAAAACCCACUCUUCUAGCAAAUGGGUAUGGCGACCCAAAAAUGUUAACUCUAACCCUCCAGGACCCAACCAGACUUGGGUACCUAAAAGAAACUAAAUUAUUUGUUUUGCAGGAGCGUACUAAGAGGACCUACAGAAAGGGAAUGUGGGUAAUCGAUAGUGGAUGCUCCAGACACAUGACUGGAAAGAAAGAAAACUUCAAUAAGGUAGAAAAAAUUGAUGGAGGCUAUGUAAGGUUUGGAAAUAAUGCUAAAGGAGAAGUCACAGGGAUUGGAACUAUAACUAUCAACCCUUCAUGUGAUCUUGUAGAAGUAUACCUUGUUGAUGGAUUGAAACAUAAUCUCCUGAGUAUCAGUCAAUUAUGUUAUGCCGGCUUUGACGUUCAUUUCAAUGCAGUACAAUGCAUCAUAAGCAACUCAGAAAAGGACAUAACAAUAAUUGGAUAACGAAUAGAAAACAUCUAUGUUCUGAACAAUGUUGAUCUACCAACGCUAACUUGUCUCACAGCUAUCUCCAGUGAUCCAUGGCUCUGGCAUAGAAAACUUGGACACGCAAGUAUACAUGCUCUAGAAAAACUUUCUAGACUGGAACUAGUUAUUGGUUUACCAAAGCUCAAAUUCGAGAAAGAUCAUAACUGUGAUGCGUGUCAACUCGGUAAACAGACUCGAUCGUCCUUUAAAGUAAAGGACAUUGUGAGCAGUUCUAAACCUUUGCAAUUAUUACAUAUGGAUCUAUUUGGUCCUACUAAAACUACAAGCAUUGGUGGUAAAAAAUAUGCAUUUGUAAUUGUUGAUGAUUAUUCGCGUUUUACUUGGGUUAUUUUCUUAUCUCAUAAACAUGAAGCUUUUACUAAUUUUGAAGUAUUAUAUAGAAAAGUCCAAAGAGAAGCAGGUUAUUUUAUUUCCACCAUUCACAGUGAUCAUGGAGGAGAGUUCGAAAACAAAUCUUUUGAGGAAUUUUGCAACCAACAGGGAUACACUCAAAAUUUCUCAUCUCCCCGAUCUCCUCAACAAAAUGGUGUAGUGGAACGAAAGAAUCGAUCUCUCUAGGAUACAGCCAGAACUAUGCUUCUCGAUCGAAGUCUACCAGAUCACUUCUGGGCAGAAGCCGUAAGUACUACAUGUCAUAUCUUAAACAGAUGCUUGAUCAGACCUAUCCUGAAAAAGACCCCUUACGAGCUAUGGAAAGGUAAGAAGCCUAACAUUAGUUACUUUCACCCAUUCGGAUGCAAAUGCUACAUUCACAACAAUGGUAAGAAUAAUCUUGGUAAGUUCGACCCUCGAAGUGAUGAAGGAAUAUUCUUAGGAUAUUCCCCAUCUAGUCGAGCUUUUAGAGUUUUUAAUAAGCGAACUCUAAGUGUUGAAGAAUCUGUUCAUGUUGUUUUUUAUGAAACUAAUCCGAGAAUGUAGGCUAUAGAUUCAAUUAUUCAGGAAGAAGAACCUAUAUCUCAUACCUCUUCAACUGGCCAAGAACCAACAGUAGUCGACUAUGACACUUCCUCAAAACCAACUAAUACUGAAGAAGAGUCAACUUUCAACAUAGAAAAGUCGAAUGUUCCAAGAGAAUGGAGACACAAUUCAAGUUUUCCAAAUGAUUUUAUUAUCGGAAACCCAUCAGAUAAAACGCAAACCAGAGCCUCCAUUAGAAAACAAGCAUCUGUAGCUCUCAUCUCACAAAUUGAACCAAAACGAAUUGAUGAGGCCUUAGCUGAUGAAUCAUGGAUUGAAGCUAUGAAAGAAGAAUUAGAACACUUUGAAAGAAAUCAAGUUUGGGCUCUCAUUAAAAGACCAAAGAACUGUUCAGUAAUCGGCACAAAUUGGGUUUUUCGAAACAAACUCAAUGAAGAAGGUAAAGUUAUCAGAAAUAAAGCCAGACUAGUUGCACAAGGCUACUCUCAGCAAGAAGGUAUUGAUUAUGAUGAAACUUUUGCUCCUGUAGCAAGGUUAGAAUCUAUACGAAUUCUUCUUGCAUAUGCAUCUUUUAACAAAUUCAAAUUAUUUCAAAUGGAUGUAAAAAGUGCUUUUUUGAAUGGCUUUAUAAAUGAAGAAGUUUUUGUUAAACAACCUCCCGAUUUUGAAAAUUCUUCAUGUCCUGAUUAUGUUUUCAAACUUUCUAAGGCACUUUAUGGUCUUAAACAAGCCCCUAAAGCUUGGUAUGAAAGACUAAGUACCUUUUUGCUCAGAAAUAAUUUUCAACGAGGGAAAAUUGAUACUACUCUUUUUACACAAACUCUUAAUUCAAGUCUUCUCAUUGUUCAAAUUUAUGUUGAUGACAUUAUAUUUGGAAGCUCUAACAUCUCAUUGUGUGAGAAUUUUGCAAAUCUUAUGAAAGGAGAAUUUGAAAUGAGUCUUAUGGGAGAACUCUCAUUUUUCCUUGGACUUCAAAUCAAGCUGUCUCAUGAUGGAACGUUUAUUAACCAAAGCAAAUAUGCAAAGGAGUUAAUAAAAAAAUUUGGAAUGGAAAAGGGAAAGGCUUUCAGAACUCCUAUGAGUCCAUCCACAUGUUUGGAAAGAGAUAACGCAGGAAAAGACGUGGACAAAAAACUUUAUCGUGGAAUGAUCGGAUCACUGCUUUACUUAACAGCCAGUCGACCUGACAUUAUGUAUAGUGUGUGCAAAUGUGCAAGAUUUCAAUCCGCUCCAAAGGAAUCUCAUCUCACUGCUGUAAAAAGAAUUAUUCGAUACUUGAUCGGUACUUUAGAGAUGGGACUAUGGUAUCCUUGCUCAUCUAAUUUUGAAUUAUCUGGAUUUUCUGAUGCUGAUUUUGCAGGAGACAAAAAUGAUAGAAAAAGUACUAGUGGUACUUGUCAAUUUCUUGGAAAAUCUUUAAUUUCCUGGCAUAGCAAAAAACAAUCCUCUGUGGCUCUCUCAACUACUGAAUCUGAAUAUCUUGCCAUUGGUAGUUGUGGAACUCAAUUAUUAUGGAUUAUGCAUCAAUUGCUUGAUUUUAAUUUAUGCUAUGAAAGUGUACCCAUUUUCUGUGAUAAUACCAGUGCAAUUAGCUUGUCAAAAUAUACUGUGCAUCAUUCUAGAGCUAAACAUAUUGAUAUUAAGCAUCAUUUUAUUAGAGAUCAUGUAGAAAAUGGAGAUUUCGUUCUAGAAUUUGUUAAUUCUAAAAAUCAACUUGCUGAUAUUUUUACAAAACCUUUACUUGAAGAAAGAUUUUGUUUUCUUAGAAAAUCUUUAGGAAUUAUUGCUAUGUGAUUUUUUUUUGUGCCUUAAUUAUGUACUUUGAUGUGAUUGUGUUUCCUUUCCUAUCUUUUCAACUCUUUUUGUGACUACCGUCUUUUUUUCUUCUCUUAUUUUUCUAAACCCUUCAUCUUCCUCUUUCCUUUAAAACUUCAAAAUCUCCUAAGUCCCCUUCAUCUUCCUUACCCAUCUUUCUUAUUUUCUCUCCACCAUGACUAGAACUCGUUCAAUGACUGCUCCAAAAAAUCUCGUCAAUGAUCACGGCUCCACUGAGGUUGAUUUUCUUUCCCUCUCGUCUAAUUCUGAUAUAGCAGAAUCCUCUGCUAGACCCUCCUCUUCAAAGAAGAGGACUUCAUCAGUCAAGAAGAAAAGUUGAAAAAAGUCUCUCUCAGAUCCAUCAAUCUCUUUUGAACCAGAGGACAUGCAUAAAAUUUUGGGGAGUUGAACAAAAGCGAAAGUUCGAAGCUUUCAAGAAGCGUCCAAUUGUGCCAGGACGAGUAAUAAACUUAGAACAAUUGGAAGAUUCUCACAGUCCGGUAAUCUCUCUCUUCAGAACUCAAAAACUAUCUUUGUUGCUUCGUCUAUGUGGUCCUGAACUUUAUGAAGAACCUGUCAGAUUGUUCUAUGCUAACCUCCGUAUUUCUGAAGAUAGUGGAGAUUUGGAAACCCUAGUGUUAGCAAAUCGCAUUGUUAUUAAUGAUUCUAUGUUUAAAGACGUUUUUGGCUCUGAGUUCUUUGAUGAUGUUCCCUAUAUGAAUGGGGUGUGGCCUGAAAAUUUUGAAGUCUCUUUUGAAGCUGCAAAAGUAGCAGUUGCUGAACCUAAUACUGACUUAUCAAAUUUUGGUCCUCUGUCUUUAUGUUUUGAAAAUCGUAUCAUUGCUCAUAUUGUGGCUACAACUUUGGUUCCUCGAAAGGGCUCUCUUAGCAAUAUCUCAACUAGAGAUGUAUUUAUUCUUUACUGCUUGGUGAAAAAGUACCGUAUUAAUUGGGCUGCCUGGAUUCGUGAAUAUAUGUUGGAAAGUGUUGAAGAUUCAAAUCCCUCUGCCAGUUUACCCUAUGGGUUGCUUGUUUCUCGUAUCAUAGUCGACUCACUGGUUGAUCUAUCUAACUACAAGCCUGUUGAAAUCAAUGCUACUUAUGACACUAAGACUUUUUCAAGUAUGGGAUAUGUUCUGGUAAAUGACAAAUGGCACAAGAAGGAAUCCCUCCAGGCUAGGGCUGAGACUUCCAAAGCUACUCGAGUGUCAGCAGAUUCUGCAUCAGCUCUUCUCCAGGAAGUUGGAGACAUCAAGACUCGUCUGACCCAUCUUGAAUCAAAUGUAAUGGUCAUGCAGGACUGUCUGAAUAAGAACCUUCAGCACUCAAACUUUUCAAAAGAUGUUGAACGUUCCUACGACUCUUUCUGCAGGAACAUUCUCAACACUCUUAAGUAUUUCCUUGGCCGUCUUUGAAAACUCUGUUUCCUCCUCUCUUUUGCUCAGACAUUAUUCCAAAGGGAUAUGUCUUCCUCAUCUUAACUGCUUUAACUUAUUUUGUAUAAAACUGUGAUUAUUUUGUCUGUUAUCUAUAUUACCAAACUCUGCCUUGUCUGUCAUUUUGUUUUCCUUUUUGAUUAUGCCAAGGGGGAGAAUAAAAUAAAAGCAGUCAUAUAACCAUACCCAGCAGAAUACAGAAAUGCACUUAAACAGGGGAAGCGUAGAACGGAGACUAGAGACAGGGGGAGCAAAUAACAGGGAAGUUAAAAUGAUCACAUUCACUCAUAUAGUUAUAUUAUGUGUCAUUAUCAAAAAGGGGGAGAUUGUUAGCAUUAAUGUUUUGAUAAUGAUUGCAGGACAUAGGAUCAGUUGGACUAAAAGAAAAGGAAAGUAACAUCAACAGGAUAAACAUGGAAGGAAAUAUAUUUAGAGCAGAUCAAGAAUACUCACUCAUUCAAAAUGAAGGGAACAUGAAGAUAGAUUAGCAAGGAACAAAACAAGGCUAACAAAUCUAAAAGAUUCACUCACUCAAAUGGAAGGAAUCAACAUGGAGCAAAUCAAGGCUAACGAAUCAUGAAGUCAAUAAUCUGUGCAAGGCAAAUUCUCACAAAGAAGGAAGGAAAAUAUUUACACGAACAUAUCUGAUAUGGAUGUGAUUACACUCAAUCAAGGAAUCCUUACAAAUCCUUGAUUGAAAGAAAAUCCCUUGGGUUUUCCUUGAAGAGCAGAAUUAUCAUCCAUCUCCAACACUAUAAAUUAUCCACACCCUCAGCAUAGAGAAUCACGUACUUCACUUGAACUUGUAUUGUUGCUUUCUUUAUCUUUGAGAAAAACCUUGUAGUCUGUCUAGUCUACAAUUGUAAUAGAAAAGAGAAAGAAUAAUCUCUAGUAGAGGUUUUACAAGUAGAGGUUGCGUCAAGAUAAGAAGUCUGAUUUGCAUAUCAGACAAGUACUGAAUACUCCAACAUUGUAUCACCAA
rnacentral:lncRNA from 1 species